rnacentral:rRNA from 1 species
AUGCUUAACACAUGCAAGUCGAACGGAAACGACACUGACAAUCCUUCGGGUGCGUUAAUGGGCGUCGAGCGGCGGACGGGUGAGUAAUGCCUAGGAAAUUGCCUUGAUGUGGGGGAUAACCAUUGGAAACGAUGGCUAAUACCGCAUAAUGCCUACGGGCCAAAGAGGGGGACCUUCGGGCCUCUCGCGUCAAGAUAUGCCUAGGUGGGAUUAGCUAGUUGGUGAGGUAAUGGCUCACCAAGGCGACGAUCCCUAGCUGGUCUGAGAGGAUGAUCAGCCACACUGGAACUGAGACACGGUCCAGACUCCUACGGGAGGCAGCAGUGGGGAAUAUUGCACAAUGGGCGCAAGCCUGAUGCAGCCAUGCCGCGUGUAUGAAGAAGGCCUUCGGGUUGUAAAGUACUUUCAGUUGUGAGGAAGGGGGUAACGUUAAUAGCGUUAUCUCUUGACGUUAGCAACAGAAGAAGCACCGGCUAACUCCGUGCCAGCAGCCGCGGUAAUACGGAGGGUGCGAGCGUUAAUCGGAAUUACUGGGCGUAAAGCGCAUGCAGGUGGUUCAUUAAGUCAGAUGUGAAAGCCCGGGGCUCAACCUCGGAACUGCAUUUGAAACUGGUGAACUAGAGUGCUGUAGAGGGGGGUAGAAUUUCAGGUGUAGCGGUGAAAUGCGUAGAGAUCGGAAGGAACACCAGUGG